rnacentral:lncRNA from 1 species
AAAAGCAAAAGGGAAUGAAGAGCCACCAACACUUCUUGAGUAGGGAAGAAUCAUGUUGAGAUCUGCAUUUUAGAAAUAUCCAUUUGGCAGAUAUGUGGAAUAUGGUUUGGAAGGGAGAAGCUGAAAGCAGGAAAACCAGUUAGACUAUUUCAAAAGCCUGUGGAAAAAGUGAUAAUGUGAAUAGCAGAAAGUCAACCAAAGAAGAUAAAGUUCUACUUGGCUGAUACCUUGUGAAUGUAUCCCAAGUUUGGCCUCCAAAGUCCAAGAGAAUCCUCCUUAGCAUAUAUUUGGUAGAUCAU